UUUAAACCAUGGGCGCUUGGCGUCGUCCUCGUGGCGGUGCCGCAGCUAACGCGGUAAGCGCCCCGCCUGGGGAGUACGGGCGCAAGCCUGAAACUCAAAGGAAUUGGCGGGGGCCCGCACAACCGGUGGAGCGUCUGGUUCAAUUCGAUGCUAACCGAAAAACCUUACCCGGGUUUGACAUGGUGGGAAACCCUUGCGAAAGCGAGGGGUGCUGUCCUCUGGACGGAAUCCCACCACAGGUGGUGCAUGGCCGUCGUCAGCUCGUGUCGUGAGAUGUUGGGUUAAGUCCCGCAACGAGCGCAACCCCUGCCCUUAGUUGCUACCCCGAAUGGGGAGCACUCUAAGGGGACUGCCGGCGAUAAGCCGGAGGAAGGUGGGGAUGACGUCAGGUCAGUAUGCCCUUUAUGCCCGGGGCAACACAGGCGCUACAGUGGCCAGGGCAAUGGGAUGCAACCCAGCAAUGGGGAGCAAAUCCCCCAAACCUGGUCAUGGUGCAGAUUGAGGGCUGAAACUCGCCCUCAUGAAGCCGGAAUCGGUAGUAAUGGCGGAUCAGCUAAGCCGCCGUGAAUACGUUCUCGGGCCUUGCACACACCGCCCGUCACGCCACGGAAGUCAGUCUUCCCGGAAGCUCCCGGGC
rnacentral:rRNA from 1 species